AGUGAACGCUGGCGGUAGGCCUAACACAUGCAAGUCGAACGGCAGCACAGUAAGAGCUUGCUCUUACGGGUGGCGAGUGGCGGACGGGUGAGGAAUACAUCGGAAUCUACUUUUUCGUGGGGGAUAACGUAGGGAAACUUACGCUAAUACCGCAUACGACCUACGGGUGAAAGCAGGGGAUCUUCGGACCUUGCGCGAUUGAAUGAGCCGAUGUCGGAUUAGCUAGUUGGCGGGGUAAAGGCCCACCAAGGCGACGAUCCGUAGCUGGUCUGAGAGGAUGAUCAGCCACACUGGAACUGAGACACGGUCCAGACUCCUACGGGAGGCAGCAGUGGGGAAUAUUGGACAAUGGGCGCAAGCCUGAUCCAGCCAUACCGCGUGGGUGGAGAAGGUCUUCGGGUUGUAAAGCCCUUUUGUUGGGAAAGAAAAGCAGCAGGUUAAUACCUCGCUGUUCUGACGGUACCCAAAGAAUAAGCACCGGCUAACUUCGUG
rnacentral:rRNA from 1 species